GUCCACGCCCUAAACGAUGGCAACUAGUUGUUGGGGAGUGAACUCCCUUAGUAACGCAGCUAACGCGUGAAGUUGCCCGCCUGGGGAGUACGGUCGCAAGAUUAAAACUCAAAGGAAUUGACGGGGGCCCGGCACAAGCGGUGGAUGAUGUGGUUCAAUUCGAUGCAACGCGAAAACCUUAACCUACCCUUGACAUGCCAGGAAGCCCGAUGAAAGUUGGGUGUGCCCGAAAGGGAACCUGGACACAGGUGCUGCAUGGCUGUCGU
rnacentral:rRNA from 1 species